rnacentral:rRNA from 1 species
GGCUAACGCUGGCGGCGUGUCUUAGCCAUGCAAGUCGAGCGGACUUAUGGGGUAACUUAUAAGUCAGCGGCGGACGGCGGAGUAACACGUAGCUAACCUACCCUCUGGACGGGGAUAACCUACCGAAAGGUGGGCUAAUACCCGAUGUAGUCAUCCUGUAUAGGGGUGAUGAAAGGUGGGCUUCUGUUUACAAGCUCAUGCUGGAGGAGGGGGCUGCGGUCUAUCAGGUAGUUGGUAGGGUAAUAGCCUACCAAGCCGAUGACGGGUAGCCGGCCUGAGAGGGUGACCGGCCCGAGGGGCACUGAGAUACGGGUCCCACUCCUACGGGAGGCAGCAGGCUAGAAAUUUGGGCAAUGGGGGAAACCCUGACCCAGUGACGCCGCGUGCAGGAAGGAGCCCUUCGGGGUGUAAACUGCUGUCGUGUAGGGAGAAGGGUACUAAGGUGAACAAUCUUAGUACUUGACGGUACUACAGGAGGAAGCCCAGGCUAACCUCGUG